ACCAGUGGCGAUAGCACGUUGAAUGCUCCAGUUCCCAAUGGAUCACUGAAGUGAAGCAAAGGUAUGUGUGGUUAGUAUCCGGAUGGGUGACCAUCUGGACAAUCGCGAGCUGCUGGCU
rnacentral:rRNA from 1 species